CCUGAACGCUGGCGGCGUGGCUAAGACAUGCAAGUCGAACGGGUGUAGCAAUACACCAGUGGCGGACGGGUGAGUAAUGAAUCGCUAACGUACCCCGGAGCCAGGGAUAGCCAGCCGAAAGGCUGGGUAAUACCUGAUGAGACCCCGAACAGGCAUCUGUUUGUGCUCAAAGCCGUAAGGCACUCUGGGAGCGGGCGAUUUUGUACCAGCUUGUUGGUGAGGUAAUGGCUCACCAAGGCGACGACGCAUAGCCGGACUGAGAGGUUGGCCGGCCACAUUGGGACUGAGACACUGCCCAGACUCCUACGGGGGGCUGCAGUAACGAAUCCUCCGCGAUGCACGAAAGUGUGACGGAGCGACGCCGCGUGUAGGACGAAGCCCUUCGGGGUGUAAACUACUGUCAGGGGAAAGAAAGUUCUGAUCUACCCCAGAGGAAGGACGGCUAACUCUGUGCCAGCAGCCGCGGUAAC
rnacentral:rRNA from 1 species